rnacentral:rRNA from 1 species
GAACUACAAGUGAAAAACUUCAAACUUAAAGGACUUGACGGUAUCCCAAACCGACCUAGAGGAGCCUGUCCUAUAAUCGAUACCCCCCGCUCCACCCAACCUCAACUAGCACAAUAUCAGCCUAUAUACCGCCGUCGACAGCCUACCCUAUGAAGGUCCAACAGUAGACAUAAUAGCCCCCCACUAACACGUCAGGUCAAGGUGUAGCAAAUGUUGAGGAAGAGAUUGGCUACAUUUUUUAUGAUAAAAAAAACGAAAAGUAUUAUGAAAUAAUACAUGAAGGUGAAUUUAGUAGUAAAAUAAACAAGAGUGUUUAUUUUAACACCGCUCUGGGAUGCGUACACACCGCCCG